AUGAUCAGAAGUUGGCUCUUCCAAUGCUUUUUCUGUAGCGGAAGAAGAAACAAAGAUCCUGUGAGGUCAAGCAAUAAACCCAAGUACCACUGGAUAGGGCCUGAGGGGUUCCCAUUUUAUCCAUAGAACUAAGUUGAAGAUUUUCUAACUCUUGUUACAGAAAAAGAAUGUUCAGGAUGCAUCAGUGAGAGGCAUAAAGGGAUUUAUUAGGCAAAAAUAUAAAAGUACAAGGAAAUAGAGUGUGGGACCCUCAAGAGAGAUCUGGAGCUGUGUAUUUUUAUGGGGGCCAGAGGUGUCUUUAAGAUGGAUGAUGGAGGAUGUGCAUUCUCACCCUCUCUCGGGUCACCCAUCUGGGGCUGUGUUACAAUGCAAACCAUUCGCAUGUGUCUGAAGUUGAGCUCUGCUGCCCGCUAAUAUUGCAGUUUUCUUAAAUAUGGGGGCAGCACAGCUUACAAGUAAAAAAAAAAAAAGCACAAGCCCAAAACCCAAUUUAUAGGCUUAAGGAAAAAGAUUUGAGUAAUUUGUGUCCUGAAGCUGCAGGGAUGUUUGUUUGUUUGUUUGUUUGUUUUUCUGGGAAAGAAAUAGCACAGAUUCUGCUGGUGACUUCUGUGACACUGCCUUUCAGGUGUCAUAAGUCACACCCAGGCUGUCCCAGGAAGAGGAGUUGGAUCUCAUCCUGUCAGCUUCCUCCACCCUGUGGGUGAGGCACUGAGCAGAGAGGGAGUCACAUCGGGGUGUGGCUGCAGCUUUCAGUGGCCACUUGAUUUUCCUGUGCGUCUGCAAGUGAAAGGAUGAGGGCUAUGGGUUCUGGUGAAACAAGAGAGGCCAGUGCCAGCUCACGGGAGGAAGCGUGUCCUAAAGCUGAGUCUUGUCUCAACUGCAGAAGAUUGCCUGGAGAGGCCAUGAGCUCCCCGCUGCGGGAGGCUGUUGAGCAGAGACUGUCAGUGCCCCUAUGAGGUGUGAUGUGGGGACCAGACUGAAGAUAGCUCAGGGGCUUUGGUGUCUAACCCAAAGAACCCAUGACCUCAGGAUCUAAGGCAUCUGCCUUCUCAUAUGGUAGGAAGGGGCAGACAAGUGGCUUUCAGUGGCAGAAAAAAGGUCUCCUUGUUGGCCAUCCGCCAGAGAUUUUGUGGGGCACUAUCUGAAAUGUGUCUCUCAAUUUAUCAGUAGCCCCCCCGGGGAAAUGUCUAAGGCUAAAAGGCUAUAGUACUUAGAGGAUGUUAUGGAAUCUCCUCUAAGGAAACCGAGCCCAGGAAAUGGGUGGAGAUUGUUCCAGACGCUCAGCUAGAAUUGAUGGCGCAGAUGAAACAAAACACAGGAAAUGGCGAGGGCUCACUUCUGGGCAGCAGCCUGGGCAUUUGCACACAUGAAGGGGUGGAGACUCAGCAUCCAGGGAUCUUGGUGGCAGGGCCCAGUGGCCUCCUCCAGAGGGAAAACAGAUCUGGAUUCCUAUCCUGGUGCUGCCUCAACCUGCUGUGUCUGUGGGGCACCUUAGCUGGCAUCCGCAGGAUGGCAACAGGGACUCCUCCCAUGAGAGUUCCCCAGCACCCUCUAGAGCAGGACCUCGGAGCCACCCAACAGCUGGGCCACAAGAAAUGCUGAGGUACUGGCCCACCCCUCCCCCACAGCCACCCAGUUUCUCGGGUUCAAGGUCCCAGGCAGUCAGGGGCUCGUUUUCCACGCAGUCUGGGCCAUGUUCUCUCCUUCAAGUCUUUACAAAGCCUUCCCCAGCACCCCAGGCCUCAGACAGUUUUCCUGGGCCACUUUUGCCCCCAACAUGAACUCCAGGGGCAGCUUUUCAAAAUUAAGUAGCUGCCUCUUACAGCUCCCUCUGAACAUCCUGAUUCUUCAGAUCCUGAGAGCCUGGCUUUGGUACUCUGCAUAUGUAUAGAUCUAGUUUUCACACAACAGGCUGAGUAGCAGAUGGGGACCCAAACCAGCCUCCAACAUUUCACUGAGUGUUAAGACACAGGGAACUGGGGAACAGGGUGGCUUUGAACCAGCCCCUACUGCUGCCAGCACUCAACCUUAGACGAUUUUCAUAAGAAGGAAAAAAAAACUAAACUAAAAAACAAAAAAACAACAACAGCAACACACACACACAUACAAGCUCAACAAAACCACAGUUUUCCUUGCUCCCCCAAUCCAGAUGGCAGAUGGUAUGGAACCAAUAAAACACAGAUUCAAACAUUUGUUUAUUUAGCAUUGAAUGGAGUAUGGCUUUGUGAUCCCUUCCAAGGAAACACAACCUUCCAACCAAAGAAAUGAUGAGUCUAAGUCAAAGCUCAGGGCAGCAUUGGGAGGGUUCCUCCUGGGGAGGUCCCUGAGCACACGGAAAAUAAAGCACUGGUGAAGCCUCUGGGCCUGUUUACCUCACUGGCAGAAACUCCAGGAGGUCUUCAUCCUGAACACUGACUGACUCUCCGUUUCUGUAGUUUGCUUUUUGUCGACAUUCCUGUUGAAAAAGCAGCCAGCCACAUCAAGAACGUUCCUGCGUCACUUCUAAAACAGCUGUGAAGAUGUUCUGGGCCACCAAUUGAAAAGACCAUGAGAAAAAGGCACAAGCCCCUGAGAAAAGGCACUUUGUUCUGCUGCUCUGGCUCUCAGAUAUCAGAAAAAGAGAGCUCUGUGCGACAAUGUGUUUCCCUUUUUGCUUUGGCUUCCAGGAGAUUCAGAGCUAUCUUAUAUGCUGAGAUUGAAAAAUGAUCUUGUACUUAUUAAGACUCUUUUGGUUAUGAGUGACAGAAAUCUAACCCAAGCGAUUUAAAAUAAAAAGAUAAUUUAUUGCCGGGCAUGGUGGUGCACGCCUAUAAUCCCAGUACUCGG